GGCAGGUUGCCCGAGUGGCCAAAGGGAGCGGACUGUAAAUCCGCCGGCUCAGCCUACGAUGGUUCGAACCCAUCACCUGCCA
rnacentral:tRNA from 1 species